rnacentral:rRNA from 1 species
UUGGGAGCUCUCCCAUAUGGUCGACCUGCAGGCGGCCGCGAAUUCACUAGUGAUAGAGUUUGAUCAUGGCUCAGGACGAACGCUGGCGGCGUGCUUAACACAUGCAAGUCAAGGGGGCCCAGCAAUGGGCAACCGGCGAACGGGUGCGUAACACGUGAGCAACCUACCGAACUGUGGGGGAUAGCCGGCCUAACGGCCGAGUAAUACCGCAUACGCUUUCAGUGAGGCAUUUCAUUGAAAGGAAACCUACGGGACAGAUCGAGGGGCUCGCGGCCUAUCAGCUAGUUGGCGAGGUAACGGCUCACCAAGGCAACGACGGGUAGCUGGUCUGAGAGGAUGGCCAGCCACAUUGGGACUGAGAUACGGCCCAGACUCCUACGGGAGGCAGCAGUGGGGAAUCUUGCGCAAUGGCCUAACGGCUGACGCAGCGACGCCGCGUGUGGGAUGAAGCUCUUCGGAGUGUAAACCACUGUUGCCCGGGACGAACAGCUCGAUUAAUCGAGCCUGACGGUACCGGGUGAGGAAGCACCGGCUAACUCCGUGCCAGCAGCCGCGGUAAUACGAAUCGAAUUCCCGCGGCCGCCAUGGCGGCCGGGAGCAUGCGACGUCGGGCCCAAU